CUUUUUCGCUGCUUUUUGGCGAUUAAGCAUGCGGUGAAGUUGCUAAGUGCUAACGGUAUUCAUUUUCCGACUUGAGAGAGGUCCUGAUUUGAUUUGAGUGAGUCCUGAUUCUUGCUUCCACCUGCCUGCUCAUUGCACUGUAUAACAGAUCCUGGGUGUGACAGCUGUUUCCUAACUCAUUGAUGUGGUGUAGACGGCACUGCUGAGCUUGCCCGUGACUGACGCAUUUGGGUGAUGGCUGCACCAGUAAAACUGCGGAUUAUCCUUGGUUCCAACAAUGCUGAAAAACUGACCAUAGAAUCAGGCUUGCCAGCAUCUGUUGAGGAUCUUACAAAUGAGAUCAAACGUCAGUUUGAUAUAGAGGGGGACAUUAGACUCCAGUACAUGGACAGUGACUUUGACAACGAGUUUGUUAACCUUAACCAAAUUUGUGACAUUCAAGACAAGAGCACAGUGAAAAUCAUUCACUUGUCAGAUGCUCUAGACCUCAGCCAAGGCAGCAUGAAUCAGAGUGGAGAAGAAGCAUCGUUCUCAUCUUCUGACACAAUAAUACUCUCCUCUGAUUCAGAAUCUCCUCGAUCAUCACAUUG